rnacentral:rRNA from 1 species
GAUGAACGCUGGCGGCGUGCCUAAUACAUGCAAGUCGAGCGAACAGACGAGAAUCUUGCUUCUCGGAUGUUUGCGGCGGACGUGUGAGUCACACGUGUAUAACCUACCUAUAUUACUGAUAUAACUUCGGGAAACCGGAUCUAAUACCGUAGAAUAUUUUGAACCGCAUUGUGCGAAAGUGAGAUACGGUCUUGCUGUCACGUAUAGAUGCAUCCCGGCUGCAUGAUCUAGUUGGUAAGUUAACGGCUUACCAAGGCAACGAUGCAUAGCCGACCUGAGAGGGUGAUCGGCCACACUGGAACUGAGACACGGUCCAGACUACUACGGGAGGCAGCAGUCGGGAAUCUUACGCAAUGGGCGAAAGCAUGACGGAGCAACGCCGAGUCAGUGAUGACGGUCUUCGGAUCGUAAAACUCUGUUAUUAGGGAAGAACCUAUGUGUACGUAAAUGUGCCCAUAUUGACGGUACCUAAUAAGAAAGCAACGGCUAACUACGUG